rnacentral:rRNA from 1 species
UGCGAGUCAUUGUAGCAAUACAAGGCAGACGGCUCAGUAACGCGUAGUCAAUCUACCCUAUGGACGGGAAUAACCUCGGGAAACUGAGAAUAAUGCCCGACAGAACAUUAUACCUGGAACGGUUUAUGUUUCAAAUGAUUUAUCGCCGUAGGAUGGGACUGCGGCCUAUCAGUUUGUUGGUGAGGUAAUGGCCCACCAAGACUAUUACAGGUACGGGCUCUGAGAGGAGUAGCCCGGAGAUGGGUACUGAGACACGGACCCAGGCCCUAUGGGGCGCAGCAGGCGAGAAAACUUUGCAAUGUGCGAAAGCACGACAAGGUUAAUCCGAGUGGUUUCUGCUAAAGAAACCUUUUGCUAGUCCUAGAAACACUAGUGAAUAAGGGGUGGGCAAGUUCUGGUGUCAGCCGCCGCGGUAAAACCAGCACCUCAAGUGGUCAGGAUGAUUAUUGGGCCUAAAGCAUCCGUAGCUCGUUUUGUAAGUUUUCGGUUAAAUCCAUACGCUUAACGUAUGGGCUGCCGGGAAUACUGCAUAACUAGGAAGUGGGAGAGGUAGACGGUACUCGGUAGGAAGGGGUAAAAUCCUUUGAUCUAUUGAUGACCACCUGUGGCGAAGGCGGUCUACCAGAACACGUUCGACGGUGAGGGAUGAAAGCUGGGGGAGCAAACCGGAUUAGAUACCCGGGUAGUCCCAGCUGUAAACUAUGCUAACUCAGUGAUGCAUUGGCUUGUGGCCAAUGCAGUGCUGCAGGGAAGCCGUUAAGUUUGCCGCCUGGGAAGUACGUACGCAAGUAUGAAACUUAAAGGAAUUGGCGGGGGAGCACCACAAGGGGUGAAGCCUGCGGU